AGCCCUUGACAUGGUCGGACGGUUUCCAGAGAUGGAUUCCUUCACUUCGGUGACUGACACACAGGUGCUGCAUGGCUGUCGUCAGCUCGUGUCGUGAGAUGUUGGGUUAAGUCCCGCAACGAGCGCAACCCUCGCCUUUAGUUGCCAUCAUUUAGUUGGGCACUCUAGAGGGACUGCCGGUGAUAAGCCGGAGGAAGGUGGGGAUGACGUCAAGUCCUCAUGGCCCUUACGGGCUGGGCUACACACGUGCUACAAUGGUGGUGACAGAGGGCAGCUAGACCGCGAGGUCAUGCUAAUCCCUAAAAGCCAUCUCAGUUCGGAUUGCACUCUGCAACUCGAGUGCAUGAAGUUGGAAUCGCUAGUAAUCGCAGAUCAGCACGCUGCGGUGAAUACGUUCCCGGGCC
rnacentral:rRNA from 1 species